UGGGAGAGCGGCGCGGGGGUGGCCCGGGGACCGCACCCCGCUUUCCUCUCUCCACUCCCUGCGUGGGCCCCGCUUCCCGCAGGCGGUGGCGACCCCAGUAAUAGGCCCACUGCCAGGAGCAACGAACCCGGGAGAGUACAGAUAACUCUUUCUGGGCAAGGCAGGAGAAGGAGUCUCCUUCUUGGUUCUCCUGUCCAGGGGAUCAGGGCUGGCUCUGGGAGGCGCUCAGGUUCCCCUAGAAGCUGCUCAGCCCCGCGGCUCCUCCUCGUUGCUUUACUCUGGGACUGGCCCUCCCCAUGCUUCUGGAGUCCCUGCAGUGCCGAGCUGAGAAGAUAGAACCGCGGUCCGGUUCCUGCGCCCCUGGCUCGGGAUCUGGUCUGGUUUUGGGUUCGGCUCGGCUUUGACCAUCCCCGCCCUGACCCGAGCUCUCCUUUCCUGAGGGCCCACCCAUCUCGAUCCUCGGCCGCUCGGGUUCCGAUUUGGGGCCUCUGGCUCCCCGGAAAAGGCGAGUCAGGCAGACGGGGAGGGAGUAAAGCUCAGGGAGCCAGAGCUUUGUGCCGCACAGAGACAGAACCGGGGUUUCCAGGCCCGGCCAGGUUGGGCUGGGGCUCGAUCUCCUCUGUCUCUCAGCGAAGUCAGCCCCAGCGCUGCAGCCCAGGGAAAGGUGUCCUAACUCCCCAGAAAAGGAGGAGCCAUAAGAAUAUGGAUAUGUCAGUGUUUAUUCCAUUGAAGGCAAUGUAGAAGGAAAAGGCAUUCUUGGAUGAGCAGAAGAAAUUGUGGGACUAAGUCUUCUGGAGAAAAGAAGAGGACUUCCUGGAGCAAAGGAAGAGUUCUGGAGUGAAACUGGAUCUGGCACUAAGGAACAGCAAGAGACAGAGUCAAAAAUAUGGAAGAACAAACUCAGACUUCACCCUUCAGUAGUGCUGUGAGUUAUAAGGACCUUGCAGAUCCUGGGGAAAGCAAGCAUGCUCUCUAGUGAUCUUAAUUUCUUUCUUUGAACAGGAAAACGAUAUUGGGAUGCACUGUAAGUCUGGACUGUUUAGAUCUUUGAGAGAGGUAGGUCUGGGGUGGGUGGUGGGCUUGAUUUUCUAGCAAUAGAGAUGCUUUCUUCUUUGAUGGAGGUUGUGGGGGCAAUAACUUAAAGAUAGAAAUGUAGACAAUAGAUAGAUAAGGUACUUAACCUUUAUUAACUCUAAUUUUAAUAAUUUAAUAACACUUACUAUGUGCCAGGUACUAAGUUCUGGAAAUACAACUAAAAGCUAAAAGACAGUAUCAGCCAUCAAGGAAAGGUCUGGGAUUGAAGAGAACAAAAUUAUUGCUGGUUCUUUAAAUGAGUAUUUGGGGGAAAACUCACCAAUAGGAAGAAGAAGAAUGGAAGAAAGUGGUGUGUGGAGGCACAGGCUGGUCUUCUGGGACUGAACCUGAAGGUAAAACUAUAAGUCUCUAUAGGUCCCUGGAGGUGGUGGGGCUCCUGGAAUGAGGAGAGUUGUUUUGACUGUUUAUGGAUCUCAUUACAAAUCUUUGCAUUUUCUCUCGUGUGAAAUAAAGCCUGUUCUGUAUCUCA